AUUUUAAAUCUAGCCUAAAUAUAUAAUACUAAUCCCUAAUACACAAAACAUUAUUAUAUGAUAGUACGGGCGACAGAAAACUUAUUAGCGCAAUAGAAAAAGUACUGUAAAGGAAAGAUGAAAUAAAAAUGAAAUAAGACAAAAAUAUAAAAAAGCAGAGAUAACAACUUUUACCUUUAGCAUAAUGAUCUAGCCAGUCUACAUUAACAUAAAGAAUUUUAGUUAUAUACCCCGAAACCAGACGAGCUACCCUAAGACAGCAAUAUAUGAGCAAACUCUUCUCUGUAGCAAAAGAGUGAGAAGAACUUUUGGUAGAGGCGAAAAACCAAACGAGCCUGGAUAUAGCUGGUUACUUGAGAAUGAAUUUUAGUUCAACUAAAAGCAUAAAUAUUUUAAAAACAAGCGCUUUUAUUAUAAUUAAUUGAGGUACAGCCCAAUUAAUAAAGGAAACAACCUAAAUAAAUAAAUAAAGAUUAUAAUUAUUUAAGAAAAAUAAUACUGUUGGCCUAAAAGCAGCCACCAUAAACUGCGUCAAAGCUUAAUUUAAAUAAAACUUAUUAUCAUAAUAAAUAAUCUUAAUUUCUCUUAAAAAUCAAGUAAAUCUAUUUUAUAGAUAAAUUACUACUAGAAUAAGUAAUAAGGAAAGAAACCUCUACAUGUGUGUGUAAAUCAAAAUGAACUCAUCAUUGAUAAUUAACAAACAUAUAUAUAUAUAUAAUUUUAUAAAUAUAUUAAUAUUAAUGUUAACCCAACACAGGAACAUUAAAAAAGAUUUAAAAUUUAAAAAGGAACUCGGCAAAACAAUGAGCUUCGCCUGUUUAUCAAAAACAUCGCCUCUUGACAUAAUAAUAUAAGAGGUACUGCCUGCCCAGUGACAAUCGUUCAACGGCCGCGGUAUUAUGACCGUGCAAAGGUAGCGUAAUCACUUGUCUAUUAAAUAUAGACCUGUAUGAAUGGCAAAACGAGGGCUCAACUGUCUCUUUAAAUUAAUCAAUGAAAUUGAUCUUUCCGUGCAGAAGCGGAAAUAUAAAUAUAAGACGAGAAGACCCUAUGGAGCUUUAAACCUAAACUAAUUAUAUUUUUAUAUAAAUAUAACAAUAAUUUAGUACCCGGUUUUAGGUUGGGGCGACCACGGGAUAAAAUUAAACUCCCGAGAUGAAAACUAAGAAAUACAUUUCAAAAUAAUAAUAUUAUUAACAUAAUUGAUCCUUAUUUGAUCAACGAACUAAGUUACCCUAGGGAUAACAGCGCAAUCCUCUCAAAAAGUCCCUAUUGACGAGAGGGUUUACGACCUCGAUGUUGGAUCAGGACAUCCAAAUGGUGUAGCAGCUAUUAAAGGUUCGUUUGUUCAACGAUUAAAGUCCUACGUGAUCUGAGUUCAGACCGGAGUAAUCCAGGUCAGUUUCUAUCUAUAAAAAAUUUUUCCUAGUACGAAAGGGCCGGAAAAAUAAGGCCUAUAAAAAUUUUAAGCCCUCCUAUUAUUUCUGAAAUAAAAUAAAGAAAUAAUUAAAAAGUAAAUUAAAAAUAAUGAUUU
rnacentral:rRNA from 2 species